GGGAGUAUAGUUUAGUUGGUAGAACGCCUGUUUUGCAUACAUGUAGCAUAGGUUCGAAUCCUAUUAUUUCCA
rnacentral:tRNA from 1 species